rnacentral:rRNA from 1 species
UGAGGAAUAUUGGACAAUGGGCGAAAGCCUGACGCAGCCACGCCGCGUGAGCGAUGAAGGCCUUCGGGUCGUAAAGCUCUGUGGGGAGAGAAGAAGAAAGCCCGUGAAGAGCGAGCCUUGACGGUAUCUCCUUAGCAAGCACCGGCUAACUCCGUGCCAGCAGCCGCGGUAAUACGGAGGGUGCAAACGUUUCUCGGAAUCAUUGGGCGUAAAGCGCACGUAGGCGGCGAAGCAAGUCGGGUGUGAAAGCCCUGGGCUCAACCCAGGAAGUGCAUUCGAAACUAUUUCGCUUGAAGCUCGGAGGGGGUCAGAGAAUUCCAGGUGUAGGGGUGAAAGUCGUAGAAAUGGGGAGGAAUACCAGGGGCGAAGGCGCUGACCGGGACGAAGAUUGACGCUGAGGUGCGAAAGCGCGGGGAGCAAACA